rnacentral:rRNA from 1 species
GAAUAUUGCACAAUGGGCGAAAGCCUGAUGCAGCGACGCCGCGUGAGGGAUGAAGGCCUUCGGGUUGUAAACCUCUUUCAGCAGGGAAGAAGCGAAAGUGACGGUACCUGCAGAAGAAGCACCGGCUAACUACGUGCCAGCAGCCGCGGUAAUACGUAGGGUGCGAGCGUUGUCCGGAAUUAAUGGGAGUAAAGAGCUUGUAGGCGGGUUGUCGCGUCUGCCGUGAAAAUCCGGGGCUCAACCCCGGACUUGCGGUGGGUACGGGCAGACUAGAGUGUGGUAGGGGAGACUGGAAUUCCUGGUGUAGCGGUGAAAUGCGCAGAUAUCAGGAGGAACACCGAUGGCGAAGGCAGGUCUCUGGGCCACUACUGACGCUGAGAAGCGAAAGCGUGGGGAGCGAACAGG